AUUGAACGCUGGCGGCAGGCCUAACACAUGCAAGUCGAACGGUAACAGCAAGCAGCUUGCUGCUUUGCUGACUAGUGGCUGACGGGUGGGUAAUGUCUGGGAAACUGCCUGAUGGAGUUGGAUAACUACUGGAAACGGUAGCUAAUACCGCAUAACGUCGCAAGACCAAAGAGGCGGACCUUCGUGCCUCUUGCCAUCGGAUGUGCCCAGAUGGGAUUAGCUAGUAGGUGGGGUAACGGCUCACCUACGCGACGAUCCCUAGCUGGUCUGAGAGGAUGACCAGGCAGACGAGAAGUGAGAAACGGUCCAGACACUUAGGGGAGGAAGCAGUGGAGAAUAUUGCACGAGGGAGGAAAGGGUGAUGCAGGAAUGCCGCGUGUAGGAAGAAGGAGUUAGGGUGGUAGAGUAAUGAAAGCGGGGAGGAAGGGAGUAAAGUUAAUACCGGAGGUCAAUGACGUUACCGGAAGAAGAAGCCCCGGCUAACUCCGUG
rnacentral:rRNA from 1 species